rnacentral:rRNA from 1 species
UAGGGAAUCUUCGGCAAUGGACGAAAGUCUGACCGAGCAACGCCGCGUGAGUGAAGAAGGUUUUCGGAUCGUAAAACUCUGUUGUUAGAGAAGGAACAAGGGUGAGAGUAACUGUUCACCCCUUGACGGUAUCUAACCAGAAAGCCACGGCUAACUACGUGCCAG